rnacentral:tRNA from 3 species
GGUUCCGUAGUGUAGCGGUUAUCACGUCGCCCUGUCACGGCGAAGAUCGCGGGUUCAAUUCCCGUCGGGACCG